CUCCCGGGAGUGGUUUUCUCGCGAUCCGCGUGCACGGCGGGCACUCCGGGGCCCCCGCGAGUGAGGUGCGAAGAAGUGUUUGUGCGUGCGCGACGACAUGGAGUCUCCGGCGGUGUUCAUCGAUGAGCGCCAAGAUGUUCAGAAGAAGACGUUCACAAAGUGGAUUAAUGCGCACUUGUCCAAGACGACGUGCUCGCCGGUGGCGGACCUGUUCGUGGACCUGCGCGACGGGCAUCGGCUGCUGGCGCUGCUCGAGGUGCUGACCGGCGAGCGGCUGAGGCGCGAGAAGGGCCGCAUGCGAGUGCAUCACAUCAACAACAUCAACACGGCGCUCACGGUGUUGCAGCGCAGCGGCGUGAAGCUGGUGAACAUCUCCAGUGAUGACAUCGUGGCGGGCAGUGCCAAGCUGACGCUGGGCUUGAUUUGGGCCAUUGCGCUGAGCUUCGAUGGGCAGAAGUUGGUGAAUUCGCAGGGCGUGAGUGGCAUUGAGAAGAGUUUGCUGCUCUGGGCACGACGCUAUACAGAACCGCACGGCCUGAAGAUCGGCGAUUUCUCGGGCAGUUGGUCAGAUGGACGAGCGUUUCUCUACAUUCUGCACGAGCACGUGCCGAAAUUCGAUCUUGAGCGAUCUGUGAGGCAGCAUCCAAUGGCAAGGCUGCGCAUGGCGUUCGAUUUGGCCAGUCGAUACUUGAACAUCGAUCAGCUCUUGGAUCCUGAAGAUGUGAACACAAAUAAGCCGGACAAGAAGUCGAUUCUCAUGUAUGUGAUGUAUUUAUAUCAUGCCAUUGAGAAUCUACAGCAGUUGAGCAGCCAAGAGGCGAUGGAGAGUCAGAGUUUGUUGGUGCAGCAGAGUGAGAGCAUGGAUGAGAUUCAGUUGCUGGAUGAGACGCAAGUUGUGGAGCAUUUUGUGGAGUGUCAGAGUGUUGUGCAGGAUGAACAGCCGGCGAUUCAUGUGGGCAAUUUGACGGCAUUGGAUGAGAUUUCGCUGGCAAAGAGUGCUGAUGAUCUCAGCAAGAUGCCGAGUGUGAGUGUUAAGCGGAUUGUCACGGAGAGUUUGAGUUCUGGUGUGUCGCAAGAGGUGAAGAUUGAGGAGGAAAGGCCGCCGGAAGUGCGAUCGAGACCGGUUUCCACGGCCACAAAUGCGUCAAUUGACAUUGGGACGUAUCAGAGUGCCGUGGAGGAGGUGUUGACGGUGCUGCUGGAGGCUGAGGAGGUGCUGACGAAGGAUCUGCAGAGUGCUGAUGACUUGCCGGAGGCGCGACGGCAAUUUCUCGAGUAUCAGGAGUUCAUGAAGAAGCUGUCGGUGCAGCAGAACUUCGUGGGAGCGGCACUGGAGGAGGGCGCACGUCUCAUCACGGAUUCGCAGGCGUUGGGCGCCAAGGGAUUGACGCCGGAGGAGCAGGAAGAAGUGCGUCAGCAAAUGCGACUGCUGAAUAAGCGAUGGAAUGCGUUGCGUGAUCGUGCGGAGUUUGUUCAGGGGAAGAUUCACGAUCAGCUGACGGAUUUGCAGGCGCGCAAGAUUGAGGAGUUGAGGGUGUUUCUCACCAACACGGAGGACAGGAUAUCGCGCUUCAGGGAUGUGGGCAUGAGUCAGGAGGAGCUGAAGGUGCAGUUUGAGGAGCACAAGCGCUUCCAGCGCGAUCUGGAGGAGCAGCAGAAGCUGGUGGACAGUCUGAGCAAUCUGGUGGUGAUUGUGGAGGAUGAGCCGGAGAAUGCCAGUGAUCUGGAGGACAAGCUGGCGGCGCUGGGCGAGCGAUGGUCGCACGUGCUGAAGUGGACGUCGACGCGUUGGGAGAAGUUGCAGGAGUUGAGCAACAAGUGGGUGAAGUUGACGGACAACUACAGGAUCCUCAUACGCUGGAUGGACGCCCGGGAGGCGGAUUUGAAGGCGAUGGAGGGCAGAGAAGUGACGGAGAUUGGUGGCGUUGUGAUGCGAAUGAAGGAGUUGCGCUAUGGUGAGAAGGAUUUGCAGGUGUUUGGGAAGCAUUUGCAGGAGUUGGAAGUUGUGGCGAAUGCUCUGAAUGCGGAUAUUGUGGAGAAUCUGGAGAAUCUCACGGAUCGCUCGGAGGCGCUGAAGCAGAUUCUGGACGUUCAGCAGAUGCGCAUCGAAAGCAUGGGCUUUCAAUUUCCCAUUCACUCCAAUGAGGUGAUUGAGAAGCCGUCGAAUUGGGAGGAUUUCCAGGAGAUGAUCAUGAUGCAUGAGGAGGAGAUGAAGGUGGACACGCAGGAGGAGGAGGUGAAGAAGCUCGAGGAGGCUGACGAUUCGCCGCAGUCGAAGAAGAAGCGACGCUUGAACAAGACGGAGAGAGUGAUGGAAUUGGAGGGAAAGUUGAUUGAAAUGCUGCAUUUUAUUGAUCAAUUUGAAGACAGCACGCAAUUCCUCGAGGGAAUGCAGCUCAACAGGCGUCAGAGUUUCCUCAACAAUCUCGAUGAGGAGCUGAAGAUGAAGAUUGAACAGUAUGCGGAGGUGAAGGAGUUGCUAGACAUGUGCAAAGUCGAAAUGUCUGUGGUGGAUUUGGAGUUGGAGGAGCAAAAGUUGCUGGAAAUUGGCUCAAAGUAUGAUGAAUUUGUGUUCAGAUUGGAGGAUUUGACGGGGCAGGUGAAGAGUGAUGUGAAUCGGGAGAAGUAUCACAAGAUCCUGACGGGAUUGAAGCUCGUGCUGGCGGAUUCGAGGGAUUGGUUCAAGCAGCACGCGAGCAGUGCUUCCCGGGAAGAGUUGGAGACACGCUUGAGUGACAUGGAGUCGCUGAAUCCGGAGAUUAGUGAGGCGAAGAUGCUCAGCACGGGCGCGCUGAAGGAGUGGAAAGUGGAAUUUGAUCAGUUCAGCGAGAGUUGGUCGGAUUUGAAGCGGGCGAUUCAGAGACUUGUCCAGGAAAUGGGCGGCAGAGAGGAUUUGUCGGAGGAAAGGGAGAAACUCCAGGCGUUAAUUGUGGCUGCUGAAGCUGUGAAUGCCUUGAAUGACAAUCCACAAAUCAUGGCGGAGAAUCUGAAGAGACUCAAUGAAUUGCUGGGAAAGUUUGAGGAGAUGCACGAGUUGUUUGAGUAUUUCUGCGAGAAUGCUGAUCCCGAGGAGGCUUCCAGUCUCUCAGAAGCGUGGAAGAAGAUCCCGAGUUGCGUGAAUGAGAAGAUCAUCAAGCAGAAUACAGCGAUUGAGAAUCACAAUCACUUCCGGCGCGAGAUGGACAACAUUCUGCGUCAGAUGGAGAAGAUCGAGAGUGUGCUGCGCGAGGAUGUUUUCAUUGUCGGUGAGCACAAGAUGCUGAAGAAGAAGGGCGAAGAGUACGAAGUGCACGCAAUUGAGAUUAAGAAGAUGGAAAUUGACAUUAUUAGCGUGAAGAAUUUCAGUGAGAUCAUCGUGAAGUCGAGUGAAAAGCCACAUGCGGAUGAAAUGGCGCAGCAAAUUCAGCAUUUGAAUGAGAAAUAUGCUCAACUCAUCGAUCUCUUUCACGCCAAUUCGCGCAAACUCAAUCAAACGGCAUCGCAGACGGAAAACGUCGUGACACGCGUGAAGGACAUGGAAUUCUGGCUGAAUGAUCUGCAAAUGAACACGCCGAAGAAUGAAAAUUGCGAAAUUGGCAAUUCCAACGAACUCUUCCAGAUCAAGCUCAAGUUCCAGAGUCUCAAGGAGACGUGCGAACAGGAGACGGUGAAGUUUCGCGAAUUGAUUGAGGCUGGCAAUGAGAUUCUCAUUCAAGUGGACGAUUUGGUGCAGCAAAAGACGGACAGCAAGGUUUCCUAUCUCGCCAAGAAGUUCACCAAGUUGAAUGCGCGCUGGAAUGAAGUCACUUCGCUGGUCUACACAAGGACGGCGCUGCUGGAGCACAUUUCCAGUCAGCUGGGCGACUUCAAGACGCUCAUCGUGCAGGAGCACGGAUAUCUGGACAAGGUGGAGAAGCUGCUGAGGAAGAGUCCGGAAAGUGCGGCGGACGCCGAGGAAAUCUCAGAGGAAUUGGAUGAUCUCGAGAAUUCCAUCAGAAAUCAUCCGGACGAGCGUCUGGAGAAGAUUCAGGAGAUCGGAAAUGAGCUGGUUGAGCUGCAAUUCAUGGCUCAGGCGAUCACAGAUGAAGUCCAUCAAGUUGUCGAGCGUUGGAAUUUGCUGCAACAUCAGGCGGAACAGCGCGGCAAGAUGCUGGAACAGGCGGUGAAUGAGGCGCAAACGAGCGAAGGUCGAGUUUCGAAUUUGCAACUUUGGAUAUUCAAAGUUGACGAAAUCUUGACGGAACACAUUGAGAAUGACAUCACGAUGGAGGAUUUGCCGCAUGAUUUCCAGCGCCUGAUUGAGGAGUUCCAGAACAACGAGAAGGCGCUGGAGGAGAUGAAGGAGCAGGUGACGAUUUACCAGAAGAGCAACAAAGUGGAGGCGUCGAAGAGGCUUCAGGAGCAGGUGGAUUUGCUGGAGGAUCGCUUUCAGAUGUGUCGUCAGAAGUUGGAGAAGUUCACGUCGCCUCAGUCGGGCUUCGAGUCGCGCCUGAAUCGCGCCAUGGGCGAGUUGAGGAAUGUCGAGAGGAGUUCAGUUGUGUUGGACGUUUCGUCGGCGAGUCCGAACAAUGUUGAGGAUCAGUUGCAGCAUUGCUUGAAGAUGUACAGAGUGCUGUCGGAGGUGAAGGCGGAGACGGAGAAUGUGAUUAAGACGGGCAGGAAGAUCUGUGAGGAUCCGAUGACGAAGAAUCCCAAGAAGUUGUCGCAGCGAAUUGACGCGCUGAAGCAUUUGUACAAUGCUUUGGGGGAAAAUGUGACGGAGUCGAAGAAACAGCUGGAGAUUCUGCUGAAGCUGGCCAAGGAGUUGAGUGAGAAUCUGCGGAUUGUGGAGCUGUUUCUCACGCAGGUGCGCAAGGCGGCGGAUGGUGGCAAGCCGCCGGCGGAGGAGGAGAAGGACGAGGCCGAGGCGGCGCUGGCGAGAUGCCGAGAAGUGCUGGAAGAGUACACGGAAAUCUGCGAGGCGGUGUAUUUGGAGGAUGUGCGCGAUCGAAUUGAUAAUCUGGCAGUGAGAUUCAAUCAGCUCAACAUGGGCGAAGUUGAUGAGAUGAAAGUGCUCAGCGAGAUGACGAUGACUCUUCAAAAUAUGGACAAUAUUUCUGCUGAGUCUCUCAAAACAAUGGCGCAGGAUUUGGAGAAAAUGACGCUGAAGAGCGACGAAGUGAAGAGACAACAUUCUCACGUGAAGCAAAUUGUUCAGGAGGCCGUGGAGGCGCGGCGGAGUGGCGCCGCGGCGGAGGAGGAGACGGAAAUUGUCGUGGUGAGCGACACGGUGCGGCAGCGGCGCGCGCGGACGCCGAGCUCGAAUGUGGACAGCGCGGAGAUUCAGCUGGCGGACGUGCAGGCGAGCGUGAUGCCGGAUCUGCUGCCCAAGACGUUCCAUCUGGCCGAGACGAGUGCGCUGUUCUCGCACAUCUCGCAGAAGGGCAGCGACGAGCGUCUGCUGAGCGACGAGAAGCGCGAGGAUGAAUUCUCCGUGGUGGCGAUUCGGGAGACGAACACGACGCCAAAGAUGACGGUGAAGAAUGUCCAUUUGUCCCUGGAGGAGGAGGAGGAGGACGAGGCGCCGCGGCCGAAGGUCGGGCAGAUUGUGCUGGAGAGCGUGGAUGUGUUUGAGCCGGAAUUCGUGGAGACGGUGAACAUUGUGGACGCUUCUGAGGACACUUCGGACACGGACAGUUGCUCGACGCCGCAAUUGCGCGAACGAAGUCGCGGGAAUUUGAGUUGUCUGGACGAAUUGGAGCGCGAGCUGGAGAAUUACAACACGAGUGACAUUGAGCGCGAGGUGAUUCGCAUUGAGAAGCAGAGGAUUUCGUUUGAGGAGAAGCGCGUGGAGGACAAGGAGCGGGACAUUCUCAGGGAUUCGGAGAUGGAAGUGAGGAAGCCGCCGAGGAAAAUCCGUCCGAAUCUCAGGGAGAUUCUCAGUCAGCCGGAGAGAGAUAGUUUCUAUGCGUCGGACAAGGAGAACUUCGAUGAGCCGCUGGUGUUUUCCGACGACGAAGACAUUCCGCGCUUUUCCAAAGAAAUGGCGCCAGCCAAUGAUUCUGACAGCGACACGGGUCGCAUCGAGACGCCGAAGAUCCUGAAGCCGGCCACGAAGGCCAACAAGGUGCCGACGGGCGACGAGGGGAGUCUGGAGCAGCGCGUGGGCGAAUUCGAGAAGACGGCGAAGUACAUGGUGCGCAAAUUGGAGGCGACAAGGCAGGAGAUUGAGCGCUGCGACGACGGCUUUGGCGCUGUGGAGCAUCUCAAGCAUCUCAUUGCUCCGGACGCCGCCACGCUCAUCUCCCAGGGUGACAAUCUCGUGCUGGAGACGCACGGCAAGAUUGGCGACUUGUCGCAGCGCGUCAUGGCGACUCAGGGACAGCUGAGGGAGAAAUUCCGCGAAGUGCAGCAUGCGAAAAUGGCGAAGCUGUCUUCGAGCGCUGAUGGCGAGGAGAAGAGCAGGAAGAUGUCGGCGGAGUUGGUGAGUUCAGAGACGGCCAGACAGCGUCAGCUGAGCAAGGAUCUCACGGAGAUCGAGGAUAUUGUCAACAAAGUGCUGAAGAGAACGCAGGAUUUGAUUGAGAAGCCUCUGAAUGAUUCCUCAGCUGAUGAGCUGUCAAAGAGGAUUCUGGAUAUAAGAGAGCGUCAGGAGGACCUGAAGCUGGCCAUUGAGAUCGCAUCGCAGGCGAAUCCCUGUCCGAAGGUGAAAAUCACGAUGGAGAGUCUGCAGAAGGCCAAGACGGAUCUGUCGUCGCACUGCGAUGCAGUCGUGGUGACGCUGGCGAGUCUGAAUCGCGGAUCCGCAGAUGCUGGGAGCGGAUCUCGAGAUGGGGACAAGUCUGAGCUGGAAAAUGGGAAGACGCCAUCUCGAGAGGGCACACCGAAGCGCAGAGACUCUUCGGAGCCUUACAUUCCUGGCUCGUUCACCGCCAAGGCGAGGGCAAAAGCUCUCGGGACUGGAGCUUCUCUGUCCGCGAGCUUUGACAAGUCCAUCCUUCAGAUCUCCGACUGGCUGAGCCUCGAGCGAGACAUGCUGAAGGGCCAGAGUGUCUUUGUUGGCGACAUCGAUGCAAUUCUCAUGGCCAUUGACAAGCAAAAGAAUGUGUUGCGAGAAUUGGAGUUCAAGAAACCUCAACUGGAUGAAUUGGUUCACACUGCAGAGACACUUAAGACUGACGCCAAUCGUCUUCAGCUCCAGAGCAAAGUUACGCGCUUGAGAGAGCAUUGGGACGAGACAUCACAAUGUGUUCUGCAGAGGAAAUCGCAACUUGCCGCGAUGUUGGGCGACUCUCAAAGAUACGAAGCGAAGCGCCUGGAGAUUGAAGCCUGGAUGCAGCGAAUGGAGAAUCGCGCUGAUAGGAUGGGAAGUGUCGCGACGACAGCUGAUGUCCUGGAUGCACAGCAGAAGGAGCAAAAGUCAUUCCAUGCGGAAUUGCAUCAAUACAAGCAUCAGAUUGAGUUGUUCAAUCAACUGACACAGAAGCUGAUUGCCGUCUAUCCGACUGACGACACAUCGAGAAUCAAGCGAAUGACCGAAUCGGUGAAUUUGCGGUACAACAAUUUGAACAACGUGGUCAUAAAUCGUGGCAAACUUUUGCACGCCGCCGUUCACAAUUUGCAAUCCUUCGACAGGACAAUGGAUCAAUUUCUGGCGUGGCUGAGCGAACGCGAGAGCGAAGCGGAGACAAUCUGCGAGAAUGCUGAGCAAGAACCGCAUGUGCUAAAGGAUUUGCAAUCUGAAAUUGAAUCGCAUCGAGUGGUUUAUGAUCGCUUGGACAAUACGGGCAGGAAGCUUCUUGGCUCUCUGACAUCGCAAGAGGAUGCUGUGAUGCUGCAGCGUCGCUUGGACGAGAUGAAUCAGCGAUGGAAUCAUCUGAAAGCCAAAAGCAUCGCCAUCCGAAAUCGCCUGGAGUCGAAUGCUGAGCACUGGAAUGCGCUGCUUCUGUCGCUGCGCGAACUCACCGAGUGGGUGAUUAGGAAGGACACGGAAUUGUCAACGCUGGGCUUGAGUCCUGUUCGUGGCGAUGCGGCGAGUCUGCAGAAGCAACUUGACGACCACAAGGCGUUCCGCCGCCAAUUGGAGGACAAGAGGCCGAUCGUGGAGAGCAAUUUGCUGAGUGGCAGACAGUAUGUGGCCAGCGAACCGCCAGUGUCCGAUACAAGUGACACAGAAGCGCUGGACAGCGACUCGAGGUACUUGUCGGCGGAGGAGCAGAGCAGGGAGCUGACGCGCAGCAUCCGGCGAGAAGUGGCCAAAUUGUCUGAGCAAUGGAACAAUCUAAUUGAUCGAUCUGACCACUGGAAGCAUCGUCUCGAUGAGUACAUGACGAAAAUGCGCCAAUUCCAGAAGACUCUGGAGGAUUUGAGCUCGCGCGUGGCCUCGGCGGAGACAUUGACGUCUUCCUGGACGCCGCCGCCGACGGCGUCCGAGGCGGCGGAUCAGAUGCAGCAUCUGCAGCGGCUCAGGGACAAGAUGACGACAGCCGGCGCUCUGCUGGACGACUGCAAUGAGCAACAAGGAUUCUUCACCGCCAAUCACGUGCUGGUGCCGAAUCCGUGCCUGGCGAAGCUGGAGGACCUGAACACGCGCAUGAAGCUGCUGCAGAUCGCCAUGGAUGAGCGCCAGAAGGUGCUCGUGAGCGCCGGAGCGAGUCAGAUGGGAGUGGAUUUGGAUGGAUCGCGUCACUCGCAGAUCAACAGCGGCACUAUUGGUCCCCUGCCCAAUCUGGGCGCCAGCGUCAAGGCGCCCUGGGAGCGCGCAACGACGCCCGCCAAUGUGCCUUACUACAUAGACCACGAACGGGAAACCACUCAUUGGGACCAUCCGGAGAUGAUUGAACUGAUGAAGUCGCUGGCUGAACUCAAUGACGUCCGCUUCUCGGCUUAUCGCACUGCGCUCAAGCUGAGAGCCGUCCAGAAGCGUCUCGCUUUGGAUCGCAUCCCAAUGUCCCUCGCCAUUGAGUCCUUCGAUCGCCACGGCCUCCGGGCGCAGAAUGACAAACUGAUAGACAUUCCGGACAUGACGACAGUGCUGCACUCGCUCUUCGUGACGGUGGAUCAGAUUGAUUUGCCGCUGAUGCUUGACUUGGCCAUCAACUGGAUCCUCAAUGUGUACGAUUCCCAGCGCACUGGGCAGAUUCGCGUGCUGAGCUUCAAGGUGGGCCUGAUUCUGCUGUGCAAGGGUCAUCUGGAGGAGAAGUACCGCUAUCUGUUCCGCCUCAUUGCCGAUCCGGAGCGCAAGGUGGACCAGCGCAAGCUGGGCUUGCUGCUGCACGAUUGCAUCCAGGUGCCGCGGCAGCUGGGCGAAGUGGCGGCGUUCGGCGGCAGCAACAUCGAGCCGUCGGUGAGAUCGUGCCUGGAGCGCGCGGGAAUCGCCCAGAACGGCGCCGGCGAGUCUCAGGAGAUCGUGAUUGAGGCGCAGCACUUCCUGGGCUGGCUGCAGCACGAGCCGCAGAGUCUGGUGUGGCUGCCGGUGCUGCACCGGCUGGCGGCGGCGGAGGGCGCCAAGCACCAGGCGAAGUGCAACAUCUGCAAGGAAUAUCCGAUCGUGGGCUUCCGCUAUCGCUGCCUCAAGUGCUUCAACUUCGACAUGUGCCAGAAGUGCUUCUUCCUGGGCAAGAGCGCCAAGAACCACAAGCUCAGCCACCCGAUGCAGGAGUACUGCACCACCACCACGUCCACCGAGGACGUGCGCGACUUCACGCGCGCGCUGCGCAAUAAGUUCAAGAGCCGCAAGUACUUCAAGAAGCACCCGCGCGUCGGCUAUCUGCCCGUGCAGAGUGUCCUGGAGGGCGACGCGCUGGAGAGCCCGGCGCCCAGUCCGCAGCACACCAGCCACACGCUGCAGAGCGACAUGCACUCGCGCCUGGAGAUGUACGCGUCGCGGCUGGCGCAGGUGGAGUUCGGCACGCGCAGCAACUCCACGCCGGACAGCGAUGACGAGCACCAGCUGAUCGCGCAGUACUGCCAGUCGCUGCCGGCCAACGGGCCCAAGUCGCCGGUGCAGGUGAUGGCGGCGAUGGACGCCGAGCAGCGCGAGGAGCUGGAGGCGAUGAUCCGCGACCUGGAGGAGGAGAACGCGUCGCUGCAGGCGGAGUACGACCGGCUGCGCUCCAAGCAGACGCCGUCCACCACGCCCGACGACGGCCAGACGGGCGCCGGCCACGGCCAGGACAUGAUGGCCGAGGCGAAGCUGCUGCGCCAGCACAAGGGACGCCUCGAGGCGCGCAUGCAGAUCCUGGAGGACCACAACAGGCAGCUCGAGGCGCAGCUGCAGCGACUCAGGCAACUGCUAGACGAACCAAAUGUCUCCAAGGCUUCCACGCUGCAGACCAGAUCGGUCACGGCUUCGCAGCUGAACACCGAGUCUCCCGCCAAGAUGCAGCAGAACGGCCAUUAUGAGCAGAAUUCGAACACUAACGCGAUGAACGGCGGCGCUGCGCUCUCCGCCGGCGCGAUGAUGGGCGGCGGCUUGAUGGGCGCCAACGGCGCAGCCAGCGCGGCGGCGCCACACAACGGCGACGGCCGCCCUCCGCCGCCGCCGCACUCCAGCCUCCUUCACAUGGCCGGACGAAUGUAAUUCCGCUGAGCGCUUUUCCGAGCAGGAGAAGAGGAAGAAAGACGUUUGAUUGUGGAUUAAUCUUUGAUCUAAAAGACGAUUUGGGUAAAGUUGUGCAGGAACUCGUGACGGUGAUCACGGAGCAGGAGAUUGAGGAACAUCGAGAGAAGGACUCGUAGGAAAGCCGCAUUUCACGCCUCUGUAAAUAAAGGACUUUUUUUUCCUCACACAAAGUGACUCCAAAGCAUUUGAAGCUGCGCAAUAUUUAACAGUGAUUUUUUUUUUACAAUUUAAACACACACACGCAAAUUGAUGCGGAAAUUUGCAUGAUUUUAACUUUGCUGAGAAAGGAGAAGAAUUUUGUGGGAAAAGAGGCGGAAAUUGUGGGUGGAAAAGAAAAAAAAAAAAAUAUAAAUGGACCCAAAACAUAGGAA